rnacentral:rRNA from 1 species
CGGUGAAGCCCCGCUUGCGGGGUGGAUCAGUGGCGAACGGGUCAGUAACACGUGAGCAACCUGCCCCUGACUCUGGGAUAAGCGCUGGAAACGGCGUCUAAUACUGGAUACGAGACGUGAUCGCAUGGUCAACGUUUGGAAAGAUUUUUCGGUUGGGGAUGGGCUCGCGGCCUAUCAGCUUGUUGGUGAGGUAAUGGCUCACCAAGGCGUCGACGGGUAGCCGGCCUGAGAGGGUGACCGGCCACACUGGGACUGAGACACGGCCCAGACUCCUACGGGAGGCAGCAGUGGGGAAUAUUGCACAAUGGGCGCAAGCCUGAUGCAGCAACGCCGCGUGAGGGAUGACGGCCUUCGGGUUGUAAACCUCUUUUAGCAGGGAAGAAGCGAGAGUGACGGUACCUGCAGAAAAAGCACCGGCUAACUACGUGCCAGCAGCCGCGGUAAUACGUAGGGUGCAAGCGUUAUCCGGAAUUAUUGGGCGUAAAGAGCUCGUAGGCGGUUUGUCGCGUCUGCUGUGAAAUCUGGGGGCUCAACCCCCAGCCUGCAGUGGGUACGGGCAGACUAGAGUGCGGUAGGGGAGAUUGGAAUUCCUGGUGUAGCGGUGGAAUGCGCAGAUAUCAGGAGGAACACCGAUGGCGAAGGCAGAUCUCUGGGCCGUAACUGACGCUGAGGAGCGAAAGGGUGGGGAGCAAACAGGCUUAGAUACCCUGGUAGUCCACCCCGUAAACGUUGGGAACUAGUUGUGGGGUCCAUUCCACGGAUUCCGUGACGCAGCUAACGCAUUAAGUUCCCCGCCUGGGGAGUACGGCCGCAAGGCUAAAACUCAAAGGAAUUGACGGGGACCCGCACAAGCGGCGGAGCAUGCGGAUUAAUUCGAUGCAACGCGAAGAACCUUACCAAGGCUUGACAUAUACGAGAACGGGCCAGAAAUGGUCAACUCUUUGGACACUCGUAAACAGGUGGUGCAUGGUUGUCGUCAGCUCGUGUCGUGAGAUGUUGGGUUAAGUCCCGCAACGAGCGCAACCCUCGUUCUAUGUUGCCAGCACGUAAUGGUGGGAACUCAUGGGAUACUGCCGGGGUCAACUCGGAGGAAGGUGGGGAUGACGUCAAAUCAUCAUGCCCCUUAUGUCUUGGGCUUCACGCAUGCUACAAUGGCCGGUACAAUGGGCUGCAAUACCGUGAGGUGGAGCGAAUCCCAAAAAGCCGGUCCCAGUUCGGAUUGAGGUCUGCAACUCGACCUCAUGAAGUCGGAGUCGCUAGUAAUCGCAGAUCAGCAACGCUGCGGUGAAUA